CUACGGGGUGCAGCAGUGGGGAAUAUUGGACAAUGGGCGCAAGCCUGAUCCAGCAAUGCCGCGUGAGUGAAGACGGCCUUAGGGUUGUAAAACUCUUUCGCUAGGGAAGAUAAUGACUGUACCUAGUAAAGAAGUCCCGGCUAACUCCGUGCCAGCAGCCGCGGUAAUAGGGAGGGGACUAGCGUUGUUCGGAAUUACUGGGCGUAAAGAGUUCGUAGGCGGACUGACAAGUUAGAGGUGAAAUCCCAGGGCUCAACCCUGGAACUGCCUUUAAAACUGUCAGUCUAGAGACCGGAAGAGGUUAGGGGAAGAAGUAGUGUAGAGGUAAAAUUCGUAGAUAUUAGGUGGAACACCAGUGGCGAAGGCGCGUAACUGGACCGGUACUGACGCUAAGGAACGAAAGCGUGGGGAGCAAACAGGAUUAGAUACCCCCGUAGUC
rnacentral:rRNA from 1 species